GGUUUAAUAGUGUAGUGGUUAUCACGUUGCCUUUACACGGCAAAGGUCUCGAGUUCAAACCUCGGUUAAAUCA
rnacentral:tRNA from 2 species